GGGCGCUUAGCUCAGCUGGGAGAGCAUCUGCCUUACAAGCAGGAGGUCAUAGGUUCGAGCCCUAUAGCGCCCACCA
rnacentral:tRNA from 2 species